rnacentral:misc_RNA from 1 species
CUGGAGCGUGCCUAAUGAAAUUUAUGGUGUUACUUAGAUUUCUUUGAGAAUUUCCUCAUAUAAAAAGUACGUCUCCUUGAAGAAUCCUUUCCCUAGAGUUUAUGUUAGGAAACAACUGUUGCAAAUCAAAAAGAAAUUUCGUAGUUGCAUCUCGUUGAGGAAUACUUUGCCAUUCAACCAUGAUUUGUGUGCCAACUUGAUACCCUUUUACAAUUCUGUUGUCAAGGAUAGCUAAUGGGAAUUUAGGAAUAAUAGUAG